UCCUGGGUGGCACAAAUGGUUAAGAGCUUGGCUGCCAACCAAAAGGUUGGUGGUUCGAGUCCAUCCAGAGGAG
rnacentral:tRNA from 1 species